rnacentral:rRNA from 1 species
AGUGAACGCUGGCGGUAGGCCUAACACAUGCAAGUCGAACGGCAGCACAGUAAGAGCUUGCUCUUACGGGUGGCGAGUGGCGGACGGGUGAGGAAUACAUCGGAAUCUACUUUUUCGUGGGGGAUAACGUAGGGAAACUUACGCUAAUACCGCAUACGACCUACGGGUGAAAGCAGGGGAUCUUCGGACCUUGCGCGAUUGAAUGAGCCGAUGUCGGAUUAGCUAGUUGGCGGGGCAAAGGCCCACCAAGGCGACGAUCCGUAGCUGGUCUGAGAGGAUGAUCAGCCACACUGGAACUGAGACACGGUCCAGACUCCUACGGGAGGCAGCAGUGGGGAAUAUUGGACAAAGGGCGCAAGCCUGAUCCAGCCAUACCGCGUGGGUGAUGAAGGCCUUCGGGUUGUAAAGCCCUUUUGUUGGGAAAGAAAAGCAGCAGGUUAAUACCCCGCUGUUCUGACGGUACCCAAAGAAUAAGCACCGGCUAACUUCGUG